rnacentral:rRNA from 1 species
CACGUAGGGCGCAAGCGUUGUCCGGAAUUAUUGGGCGUAAAGAGCUCGUAGGCGGUCUGUCGCGUCGGAUGUGAAAACCCAGGGCUCAACCCUGGGCCUGCAUUCGAUACGGGCAGACUAGAGUUCGGUAGGGGAGACUGGAAUUCCUGGUGUAGCGGUGAAAUGCGCAGAUAUCAGGAGGAACACCGGUGGCGAAGGCGGGUCUCUGGGCCGAAACUGACGCUGAGGAGCGAAAGCGUGGGGAGCAAACAGG